rnacentral:lncRNA from 1 species
GUCAAUCCCUAGCUGCUUCUUGUAAUGAAUGCGGAAAUGCCCUUAAAAACAUGUCUUCAUCUGGGACAUCUGGAGGUUUCAUUAAAGAGCAUAAUGUGUAGAACUCCUCCAAAUGUCUACGUGGGCAUUCACCUGCAAAACCAUGAAACCUAGGCAGCAAAUCUAUCAGUCCAGUGUCGAAAACACAACGAACAUCCUCCUUAUCAAGUGGAAACGGCUCCCUAGGAUCACUCUCAUGAGAUGGAGGAGGAUCCUUACUGUUCUCAACAUAGAAAUCAAUAGAAGAAUCAUAAUCAUAGGUACAGGCAGAAGAAACAAUAUCCACAUAACCAAAAUAAGUAGACAUGGGAAAGAAGGGGGAAAAGAAGAAUGCAAUGAAAAUAUGCAACUAAAGCUACCUAACUGCAAAACACAAUGACGAACACACAAAACAAAACAUCACACUCACAACAUAAGACAAGACAACACACAUUAACACAACAGAGGACGUAAAACCGAAUCGUUGUUCCUCGGCAACAACGCCAAAAUUUUGAUGGGAGUCGCGCCCCAUGCAAAAUUUAAUGUGCAU